ACAUAAGUGUGAGUGACUCCUUACUGCCGUCCAGGCAGCCUGAGGGCUACGAGGGGCUUCAGAGGUCCUCAUCCCCAGCCUGUAGGCCUGGCCAUACUGGACCCAUGAGAUCAGCCACCCUGUCAGCUGGUACCUCAGGGUCCUACAGUCCUCCUCGCUCAAGCCCUGGUCCUCUAACUCGGAGGUGAUGAGGUGUUGGGCUGGAAGAGACAGGCAGCCAGAUGAUUCCAAUGUACAGCCAAUGAUGAGCAGCUGCUGGGCUGAAGGGACUGGGGCCAUUUUAUACCAGGAUGUUACACAGAAAUGCCUGAAAAGCAAGGAGCAGCUAUCAGAAUGUUUGGUGACACAGCUCCUCCUGUCGUGGUUCCUUCGGCAUGGACUUCACAUUCAGCAGAUCCAUGAGGUGUUCCCUUUCGGAUGAGCUCCAAGGUCUUAAGAGAGCAUCUCUAGUCUGCGUGAGUCCGUCUGAACGACGGUCCUGAGCAAGAACCACCUAUAACCAUCUACUCAAAAUAACUCAGGGGAAAUCAAAGCUUUCUAUGUGGAAGGUGACUGAAACCACAUACACAGACCACUGCAGCAUUCCUGACAUUAUGGAACUUGGAAAUGAUUCCAAACAUGGCCAUAGCUUGAGUAACAUGUUUUGCUAUGACAAGAACUUGGAGUGUAGUCCUUCCCCCCCUCAAGAAUGUGACAUCACACCUUAUCAGAUCCUACGAGUGAGCUACUGACCUCAACCACUGAACUUCAAACUAUAUAAAAACCUAAGGGUUUGACAGACACUUUGAGAGCUUGGGCUGUGGCAAGCUACACUCUGUCAGCCUCUCUUCGACAGGGCCCCACCCUGCUAGCCUUUGAACUUGGAAGCAUCGCCCAGAAACACCAGUGCCACCCUCUAGCGUUGAGGGACCAUAUAUGUCUCUGUGAAUCUCGGUUGCAUUGGACAGCUUCUCUCCCAAGAGCUGCUCUUUUAAAAGAGACACACCACAUUUUAAUGAGGCUUCGCUCUCCACAGAGGCCUGCUUCCAUCCUAAUUGAGCAAGUAGACUUUAGUAACUUUGGAACUCACUCACCCCGUGACUAAUACACCCUGUCUACCCAGCGCAUUCCCUGUGAGAUUUGUUCAUGUUGUUCUCCCCCUCCUUAAGCAUUGUGAACCUAGGAAAAAUAUCAUCUUUGUAGGGCAAUAAACCAUGUGAUUUGUGAAAUCA
rnacentral:lncRNA from 1 species